GGGUACAUAGCUCAGUGGUAGAGCGCAUGCUUAGCUUGCAUGAGGUCCUGGGUUCAAUCCCUAAUACCUCCA
rnacentral:tRNA from 1 species